UCUGAAGCCCCCCUCCCUCUCGCUGUCUACUGAUCAACUUGGUGGGGUUUUGCCAUAGUGGAUAUAGGAUUAAUUUUUAUGGUGCUCUAUACUGCCCUACAAAGCCUAACUGCAGUAACUACGCAAAGGGUGAAACUGAGAAAAAUGGCUUUAAAGUAUUUUAACUGGCCAGCCAAAUGUGUUAUAGGUAUAUCAGUGAUAUUGCACUAAUUGUACAUGUAUUCAUGAGAUAAUUUUUAUGCCCAAAAACCAUGACAGCUGAUUUGACCUUUGACCCCAAAAAUGUAGUUACUGCACUCUGCCUUUGCAUUGCCUUAAAUGGUUCUAAGAGCAAUGCAAAAGCAAAGUGCAGUAACUACAAUGUUCUCAGCUUUUAUAUUGUGUUUUCAGUGAACAAAAACUAUUUUGACACUGAUUUUGUUAUAAUUGUACUAAUUGUAAUUCUACUUAUGGAUUUGUGCAUGUUUAAUUAAGUCUGGACAAAUUGAGAAUUUUAGACGUCAUAUUUUAGUCUUAAUAUCAUUUCAUUUCACUUUUUACUUAUUCACCUAUCUAGAUAAUUACUUUCCUAUCAAUUAAACUUUGCAUCAUCAUCUUCAAUUUCACCAUUGUUGUCACCGCCACCACUGUUGUUGCCUUGAUGACAAUCACAUGAAUAAUUUUCAUUAUCCUUGUCUUUACUAUUUAACACAAUGAAUAAAUACAAGGCUACACUGAUUCACAGUAAAAUUUGUUUAUUAUAUUACAUGUUUUAAACAGCGGCGACUUGUGAGCUGAAAAUUGGUGGGGCGCAAAACUUUCCUUUAAACUAAUCAUUGAUCUCAAACUGUUUUAAUUAAUUUUCAGUGAUUAACAAGCAUGCAAACGAUCUGACUAAUCAAUUGGAAAGUGACACACAGCCGAGUAGCCUAGGCCUUAUAGCCUACAUUUAUUUUCAUUUGCAGUAUGAAAUUGUGCACAUUUUUAAUCAACAUUAUUUGCGGAUACAUGCACUUCUUUCUCCGCACUCGUAUUCAUGGCAAAUA